CCUACGGGAGGCAGCCGUGGUGAAUAUUUGUCAAUGGUCGCCAGCCUUAACCAGCCAAGUCUCGUUAAGGAUGACUGCCCUACGGGUUGUAAACUUCUUUUAUAAAGGAAUAAAGUGAGGCACGUGUGCCUUUUUUUAUGUACUUUAUGAAUAAGUACCGGCUAACUCCGUGCCAGCAGCCGCGGUAAUACGGGGGAUCCGAGCGUUAUCCGGAUUUAUUGGGUUUAAAGGGAGCGUAGAUGGGUUGUUAAGUCAGUUGUGAAAGUUUGCGGCGCAACCGUAAAAUUGCAAUUGAUACUGGCAGCCUUGAGUACAGUUGAGGUAGGCGGAAUUCGUGGUGUAGCGGUGAAAUGCUUAGAUAUCACGAAGAACUCCGAUUGCGAAGGCAGCUUACUAAACUGCCACUGACAUUGAUGCUCGAAAGUGUGGGUAUCAAACAGGAUUAGAUACCCGGGUAGUC
rnacentral:rRNA from 1 species